CAGUCGCCGCGGGAAUACAGAGGGUGCGAGCGUUAAUCGGAUUUACUGGGCGUAAAGCGUUCGUAGGCGGCUUCUUAAGUCGGAUGUGAAAUCCCUGAGCUUAACUUAGGAAUUGCAUUCGAUACUGGGAAGCUAGAGUAUGGGAGAGGAUGGUAGAAUUCCAGGUGUAGCGGUGAAAUGCGUAGAGAUCUGGAGGAAUACCGAUGGCGAAGGCAGCCAUCUGGCCUAAUACUGACGCUGAGGUACGAAAGCAUGGGGAGCAAACAGGAUUAGAUACCCCAGUAGUCCCUGUCUCUUAUAC
rnacentral:rRNA from 1 species